GCUUCCUUGGCUCAGUUGGUUAGAGCGCCGGUCUCAUAUCUUUCUAUGACUACACUCGGGUGUGGGUGAUCCGGAGGCCGUGAGUUCGAGUCUCACAGGGAGCA
rfam:Gloeophyllum trabeum ATCC 11539 unplaced genomic scaffold GLOTRscaffold_00001, whole genome shotgun sequence.